UACGUAGGGCGCAAGCGUUAUCCGGAAUUAUUGGGCGUAAAGAGCUCGUAGGCGGUUUGUCGCGUCUGACCGUGAAAGUCCGGGGCUCAACUGCCGGAUCUGCGGUGGGUACGGGCAGACUAGAGUGAUGUAGGGGAGACUGGAAUUCCUGGUGUAGCGGUGAAAUGCGCAGAUAUCGGGAGGAACACCAAUGGCGAAGGCAGCUCGCUGGGACGGUACUGGACGCUGAGGCGCGAAAGCGAUGGGGA
rnacentral:rRNA from 1 species